GUGUCAGCAGCCGCGGUAAUACGUAGGGGGCAAGCGUUGUCCGGAAUCAUUGGGCGUAAAGCGCGCGUAGGUGGCCCUGUAAGUCCGCUCUGAAAGUCGAAGGCUCAACCUUCGAAAGCGGGUGGAUACUGCAGGGCUAGAGUCCGGAAGAGGCGAGUGGAAUUCCUGGUGUAGCGGUGGAAUGCGCAGAUAUCAGGAGGAACACCAACGGCGAAGGCAGCUCGCUGGGACGGUACUGACACUGAGGCGCGAAAGCGUGGGGAGCGAACAGGAUUAGAAACCCCAGUAGUCC
rnacentral:rRNA from 1 species